AUGGGGAAACCCAGUGUGUUUCGACACACUAUCAUUAACUGAAUCCAUAGGUUAAUGAGGCGAACCGGGGGAACUGAAACAUCUAAGUACCCCGAGGAAAAGAAAUCAACCGAGAUUCCCCCAGUAGCGGCGAGCGAACGGGGAGGAGCCCAGAGCCUGAAUCAGUGUGUGUGUUAGUGGAAGCGUCUGGAAAGGCGUGCGAUACAGGGUGACAGCCCCGUACACAAAAAUGCACAUAUUGUGAGCUCGAUGAGUAGGGCGGGACACGUGGUAUCCUGUCUGAAUAUGGGGGGACCAUCCUCCAAGGCUAAAUACUCCUGACUGACCGAUAGUGAACCAGUACCGUGAGGGAAAGGCGAAAAGAACCCCGGCGAGGGGAGUGAAAAAGAACCUGAAACCGUGUACGUACAAGCAGUGGGAGCCUCUUAAUGGGGUGACUGCGUACCUUUUGUAUAAUGGGUCAGCGACUUAUAUUCUGUAGCAAGGUUAACCGAAUAGGGGAGCCGAAGGGAAACCGAGUCUUAACUGGGCGUUAAGUUGCAGGGUAUAGACCCGAAACCCGGUGAUCUAGCCAUGGGCAGGUUGAAGGUUGGGUAACACUAACUGGAGGACCGAACCGACUAAUGUUGAAAAAUUAGCGGAUGACUUGUGGCUGGGGGUGAAAGGCCAAUCAAACCGGGAGAUAGCUGGUUCUCCCCGAAAGCUAUUUAGGUAGCGCCUCGUGAAUUCAUCUCCGGGGGUAGAGCACUGUUUCGGCAAGGGGGUCAUCCCGACUUACCAACCCGAUGCAAACUGCGAAUACCGGAGAAUGUUAUCACGGGAGACACACGGCGGGUGCUAACGUCCGUCGUGAAGAGGGAAACAACCCAGACCGCCAGCUAAGGUCCCAAAGUCAUGGUUAAGUGGGAAACGAUGUGGGAAGGCCCAGACAGCCAGGAUGUUGGCUUAGAAGCAGCCAUCAUUUAAAGAAAGCGUAAUAGCUCACUGGUCGAGUCGGCCUGCGCGGAAGAUGUAACGGGGCUAAACCAUGCACCGAAGCUGCGGCAGCGACGCUUAUGCGUUGUUGGGUAGGGGAGCGUUCUGUAAGCCUGUGAAGGUGUGCUGUGAGGC
rnacentral:rRNA from 1 species